rnacentral:rRNA from 1 species
UAUUUAACGGCCGCGGUACCCUGACCGUGCAAAGGWAGCAUAAUCAUUUGCCCUAUAAUUGAGGGCUAGUAUGAAUGGUUUGACAAGAGCAAUGCUGUCUCCAUAGAAAUUAAUAGAAAUUAUUUUUUAGGUGAAGAAUCCUAAAUAAAAUUAAAAGACAAGAAGACCCUAUCGAGCUUUAAAUUUAUUAAUAAAAUAAAGAAAAUUAAGAAUAUUUCUGAUUAUAAAAAAUUUUGGUUGGGGCGACUAAGGAACAAAAAAAGCUUCUUUAUAAAUUUAAGACUUAUGAUUAAUGAUCCACUAUUUAUAGUGAUUAAAAGAAUUAGUUACCGUAGGGAUAACAGCAUAAUCCUUUUUGAGAGUUCAUAUCGAAAAAAGGGUUUGUSACCUCGAUGUUGGACUAGAAUUUCCUGAAAGAUGCAGAASUCUUCRAAG